CACGUCUUCACAAUUCUCCGCACAGUUUAGUGCGGCGGACCUGUUCCGGAAGCGCGUCCGGGCUGUUUAACUAACUGUCCAUGGCGGUGACCUGCUCGGUGUCUUCAUCAGGAAAAUGGACUUGUAGCUGGAGAGAAGAGACAUGUUUACCUUAAAGGCUUUGCAGAAAAACAAAACGGUCAAAUAUGGAAUCCCUAUGCUUUUGCUCGUAGUUGGAGGUUCCUUUGGCCUGCGAGAGUUUACACAAAUUCGCUAUGAUGCACAGAGGAUCAGAAAAAAGCUGGAUCCGUCACUGGAAGCCAAAGUAAAUGUCCAGAAGCAGUCAGCCAUGCUGGAGGAGGAGUAUGAGAAGUUGAAGGAGGUGAAUUUGGAGGAGUGGAGGAACAUCCGCGGUCCCCGUCCCUGGGAGGACUCCAGGGAGUACCAGGAGCAGCAGCGCGCCAGGCAGAAUAAAAAGGACUGAGGCCCAGCGGGCUGCGCCGCACGCACACACACACACACACACACACACACACACACACACACACACACACACACACCCACACACCCACACUGUAGCAGGGCGGACCAGACGGGAAUGGGCCGAGGCUCCACUAAGUUUAUCUCUAUACGAUAUUCUGUUGAUUCUAUGGACAUGAUACAAUAUUUACUGAUAUCUUAAAGUCUGUCACGGUACGAUUUUGAUUGAAUUCAGGGGCCUGCGAUCGAUACCAGACAUGAUCAGAAAACCAACUAAAAUAUGACUUGUCAGUUUUACAACUGAGCUCUUCCAGGCAUUUAAAUGACAUGCAACUAUGCACUUUAUAAUACAAAGAACAAAAAUGAAACGGAAAUCAAAAAUAAAGGGGGAAUCUUCGAGACGAUAUGUGACUAUACUUUCACCUUGCAUCGAUAAUAUUGGAUCGUGGCAUAUUGAAAAGAUAUAAUGAUCAAGAUCUAUGUAUCGUUACACCCCUAACUGAGACCCCAGCAGCCCAGGCGUGCGCUCUACUUCUAUGGCCACGGUCUGUGUCGGACUCUAAACUUCGCUUGUUUGUAACGAGUUGUAGUCUCUUCUGGUUGUAACUAGUGCUGUCAAACAAUUCAAAAGUUUAAUUGCGAUUAAUCGCAUUCUCAUUGUUAACUUGCAAUUAAUCACACAUUUUUAUCUAUUCUAAAUGUCCCUUGAUUUCAUUUUGUCCCAUCAUUUCUUUUUGUCAUUUUAAUGCUCUUUUCAACAUGAAAAGUGGAUUUCUUUGUUCCUCAAAACGUAACGUUUUGUGUGUGCGGCGUGGCUGCUGUCUUUAUGUUCCCGGUCUAGCUAGAUCCAGUGUGGUGUUGUAGUUUUUCUAACGUUACAAGUUGUUGCAACAGCAUGUGGAAAAAAACUACAAAGUUUGCUAGGCCAAAAAGAACAUUAAUCUUGUGAUUUAAAAAAAAAAAAAAAAAAAAACACCGUAAGAACCCAUUUAACCGACAGCACUAGUUGGAACACAUUCAGGACUACAG